AUUGAACGCUGGCGGCAGGCCUAACACAUGCAAGUCGAGCGCGCGGCGGACGGGUGAGUAAUGUCUGUGGAUCUGCCCGAUCGAGGGGGAUAACUACUGGAAACGUUGGCUAAUACCGCAUACUCUCGUAUGACCCAUAUGGGAUUAGCUAGUAGGGGGGGUCAAGGCUCACCUAGGCGCCGAUCUCUCGCUGGUCUGAGAGGAUGAUCAGCCACACUGGGACGGAGACACGGCCCAGACUCCUACGGGAGGCAGCAGUGGGGAAUAUUGCACAAUGGGCGCAAGCCUGAUGCAGCCAUGCCGCGUGAGUGAAGAAGGUUUUCGGAUCGGAAAACUCGUUGUUAGAGAAGACGGUAUCUAACCAGAAAGCCACGGCUAACUACGUGCCAGCAGCCGCGGUAAUAC
rnacentral:rRNA from 1 species